UUUUCCUCUUUCUUGUCCUGACCCUUCUACCAAAAUUUCUUUGGUUCAACUUUUAGACUGUUGUAUAAUGUCUAAUUAGUAUCAGAUGUUCUCUUGAGGCUAGCAGCCCUGAGUCGCCUUUAUGAAGUCUCCUUUUCCAGUGAAAGAAGGUGAUUUUCUCCAGCUUGGUCAGCGUGGAAUGAACACAGCUCCGAAUAUAUAAUUUACAGCCUCCAGAAGUCUAGCCGAGCGUGAUUGGAUGGUGUCCAGCCUUGCCGGAAUCGGAGAGGGUACCGCGGGUAGCCCAAGAUGAAGACUGGGCCGAGAGGCAGCUGGGCUCCAGGCCUGUGUGACAACCCACGGGUGGACAGGAUGCAGC